rnacentral:ncRNA from 1 species
GUUGAUCCUGCCAGUAGUCAUAUGCUUGUCUCAAAGAUUAAGCCAUGCAAGUCUAAGUACGAGCUCUCGUACAGUGAAACUGCGAAUGGCUCAUUAAAUCAGUUAUGGUUCAUUUGAUCGUACAGUUUACUUGGAUAACUGUGGUAAUUCUAGAGCUAAUACAUGCGAGAAGCGCCGACCUCGCGGGAGGCGUGCAUUUAUCAGACCAAAAACCGGCCGGGUCUUCGGGCGCGUUCGCCUUGGUGACUCUGGAUAACUUUGCGGAUCGCACGGUCUAGCACCGGCGACGGAUCAUUCAAGUGUCUGCCCUAUCAACUUUCGUCGGUACGGUAUUUGCCUACCGAGGUUCUUACGGGUGACGGGGAAUCAGGGUUCGAUUCCGGAGAGGGAGCCUGAGAAACGGCUACCACAUCCAAGGAAGGCAGCAGGCGCGCAAAUUACCCAUUCCCGACGCGGGGAGGUAGUGACGAAAAAUAACAAUGCAGGACUCGUUCGAGGCCCUGUAAUUGGAAUGAGUACACUUUAAAAGCUUUAACGAGUAUCCAUUGGAGGGCAAGUCUGGUGCCAGCAGCCGCGGUAAUUCCAGCUCCAAAAGUAUAUAUUUAAGUUGUUGCGGUUAAAAAGCUCGUAGUUGGAUUUUGGGCGCAGGCGGCCGGUCCGUCGCAAGGCGUGUACUGGACGUCCUGGCCUUCCCUCCGGUUCUCCGCCGGUGCUCUUGACUGAGUGUCGGCGGCGGC